AUUUUUAGAACCCAAAUGAUGUAUUCCCAAUUAGAAGUCAAACUCACUCUAACUUCAGUUUCUCCUCUUAUGAAUACUCUCAACACCGACGCUUGCGAUACAGAGAUAGAGAAGGAGGAAAAAAAAACCUUGCGAUACAGAGAAGGAGACAGAGUUCGUACCCGCCACCGUCCGUUCCAUUGCCAGAAUUAUACCACUCAAACCGGCGCCGGUAACGUAAAGGUGCACACAGGAAUUGAGAUACGGACAUAGAGAGAACUACCACCGAGUGCAAACUUACCCACUUAGAUUUCUGCCACCAAGUUAGUUUAGAGUCACAAGAGAACGAUCGUUACAUCGUUUGAAGAUUCUUUUAAUAACCGUUUGGAAUAUGCUGAUACAAAAGGAGAGAGGACGAUAGAGAGACGAAGAAGAAGGAUUAUUAUAUAAGAAGAGAAAGCCAGUGGAGCAUACACAGGCCAAGAAGGGAGAAGGUUUUUAUGGUGAUUGGCUUUUUAAAUUGGCUUUUUGAUUGUUGAGUGGAACCAUGAAGGCAAGCGGAUAUAGAAGAUGUCCAUGAGACCAAAUGUAAGAGAGAAUUUGAGAGACAAGCAGCAUGGCAAGCGUUGGAGAUUUGUUGCCCAUCCAAAGAGAUUCACUAGAGAGAGUCUGUAAUGCAAUGAGAGAGAAAUUUGAUGGCCCUGCCACUGCCUUCUCGGUCUUCUGCCACUGUCAUACUUUCAGAACCAUUACCGGUAAUUUUGUUCUAUCUACUUAUUUUUAAGUUAGGUGACAAAUAUGAUAUAGGAAUUAAUUUUGUUAGAGUUGCUUCUGUUUUUCAUAUUUGUGUCUAAUUUAGUUUUGUUUUGGGUAUGUUGGUUAAAUUAUUAAUAUCUUCUGUAACAAAAACUGAAAUGACUUUUCAAUUUGUAACAUUUGGCUUGAUCUGCAACAGAAAACUCCUUUUAGCCUAUUUUUCCCCGAAACCAAACACCCAAAAACCUUUAACCAAAGAGAGCCAUAAUAGGAACAACUGGUCAUGAGUCACAACCACAACCCAUCCAAGCAUCUACAAUGUCAACAAUGACAAGAAUAGAAGGUAUGAUAAUAAAUGAUUUUGUUCUUUUGAUUAAAUCUAUAGAGCUCAAAAGUUUAAUGUUUUCACCUUACAUUACACUUUGUAUUAAUGAGCAUCCCGCUUAAUCCUAGAUUUACAAGUUGAAUGAUGUCACUUCUCAUUAGAUGGGGAGUCCAUAUGCUUAUAGGUGGGCUUGGUAGGAAGCCAAGAAGAGAUAAAAGCAGAAGCCUUUCCUUGCAAUUAAGCCCAUUGCAACAUGUAGGAAGCAUUUGGCAAGGGAAAGUGCUCACUUGGUUUUAAACAAAGCUCUCUCUCAAUGCAAGGAGUGUAGAUACUGAAAAAUUAGAGACAAUGAAAUAGUAUUUGGAGAAGAUAAAGUAUUCAAAGAGGAUGAUCAACAUUGCUAUGCUGAAACUUGGGAAUAUGGUGUUGCAGAGAAGAAACAGAACAAAGAACCCUCCCACCACUGACCUGCCAGAACUGCAAACAAUAAGUUUUCCUCUUUAUUUUUCAAUUUGUGCAUUAAAUAUUAUCUUCUUUUUCUAUAAUAGUUGGAUUGGUUUGGAUGUAUAUCAUUGGGUUAUUUGUGGCUUUGAUUAAGGUUUUUGCAUUAUGAUGGUGGUGUUUAGGUUAAAACACAUACGAAUGGAAUUAAAGUCGGUGACGUGACUAGCAUAAGAAGCAGGUACACUCUGCACCACUUAGCGGUGGCGCAUCCCAAGUGGAAACUGCAUCACAUCUCUUUGACUCACCAAACCCUCCCUUCAUCAAAACCCCACUGACUGCAAUGCUUAAUAGAAAAAAUUUUUAGCUAGAAGUCCAGUAUUUCUUCUUUUCUUGGUUUGGAUGGAAUUGGAUUUUUUUGGUAGUUAUGGUUGUGACUCCUAUUUUGGUACUUAACUUGGGACUAUUUUCAAUUGACAUGUAGAACAGUAACAAAUUUGUUAUUUGUUCUUUGUGAGAUGUAUACAUGUUGAUUGUGAUUUUUAUGUUGCAGAAGCCAUUAAUAGUCGGAAAGAAUCCUUAAAAUUGCUUCUAAUAUUGCUGCAUUUGGAUGAUUUAAAAGUUAUAUAGGCAUGGCUUUAUGCAUAAACUUGUGAUUUUUUUGCUGCUUUUGCAUGUUUGAGCUUUUGACAUUUGAUUUUUUGAGUGAAGAUAAUGGGAUUUUUCUCCUCAGUCUAUGUGUGUGUUUAAUUGUAAUAUAUGUGUUCCAAUUUUGGUAUUAUUCAAUUCUAAUAUGUGGGCGUUGCAUUGUGUUAAUCUUAUAGGAGUCUAACACUAAUCAUCUUAAAUGCCAUUUCAAUUUUUGGUACAUGUUAGUCUAUUGGUUAAAUAUUUUUGUAUUUUUAGCUUCUAUUGAGAGAUGAUGUCUUUAGGAAAUGUCUUUGAAAUUCCUAUCCACAAUCUAUCUUUUUCUGAGUUAAUUAUUUUUUAAAGAUGAUGCUUAUUCCUAAAUCAGUUUAUGAUUCUUGAUAUGCAGAGUAUUUACAAAUAGAAUGUGCUAUAUAUAUAUAUAUAUAUAUAUAUAUAUAUAUAUAUAUAUAUGUUAUUCCAAAUGCUUCCUGAACAUUGAAUUUACAUUUUAAAUUAGUUUAGAGCCCGUUUGGAUAGGCUGUUCACAGAACCUUAACGCGCGUUUUAGACAAAACGUGAUUUGCCAAAUCGUUUGGCUCCACAAAAUCAGCACGUUUGCGUUUUCAAAAUCCAGAUUUUUCACGUUUACAAAACACUGCAAAGGUUUGCCUUUUCAGAGACGCAGAUGGGCUAACCGCUAUUUUUUUCUUCAGAAAAUAAAAAUAUCGCCAAUACCAUAAGAAAUACCAGCUUUAUCCCUUCCCCCAUGUAUACCGUACCGGAACCUUGGCCGGUACAGGAACGCUAAUAAUUCGUUCCGGUUUUAAUACCGGCCGUACCGGAGUCAUUCCGGCAAUACCGAAGCGAAUACCGAAUUUUGGAAACUGGAUUUCUAAGAAAUUGAAGGUCUUUGAAGAAGAAUAAAAAUCGAAGAAGCAGUUGAGGCUUUUGUGAAUCUUUGAAAAAAAAAAAUCACCUGUCGUUGCAGAUCAAUCAAGCUGCUGCUUCUUCUCAUUUCCCUGAUGCUACCUCAUGAACUUCUUCUCUUUCUUUUACUUCUAGCAACUUCCUUCUAUCCCACUUUUUCUUUUUCUUUGUUUUAUCCGGCUGUGAAUCUCAAUGCAAAAUUUUGAAACUUGUGGUCAGUAAUGGGAGAGAAAGAAAAGUCUUCAAGUUCACUUUUUACCCAUCCAAAUGGUCAUGUAAUUCACGUGGCCUGGUGUAUUUUUUAUUCCCUUUAACUGUAUUAUGGUAUUACUCUUUAACUCAAAAAAAAAAAAAAAAAAGUACAAUAGUAUAUAUAUACUGGUUAUCAAAAAUAUAUAUAUUAUAAUAAACUAUAUAUUCUGUACAUUAGUUAAAUAGUAUCAGAUAUUUGUCAACAAUGAUCGUUAUUAGCUCAUUGCUGCUCAGAGAUUUUGGGAAAAAAACUUUACCAUUGUUGGUAGAAGUAUAGAUUCUUUGAUGAGGUUGAUAAAAAAAAAAAAAAAAAAAAAAAAUGACAACCUUGAAUACUCACUUUUUUGAAACCAUAUGGAUAACUUAAUAACAACCCGAAGGGCCAAAGGGAGUAGCAUAAUUAGUUAGGGACAUUUGCCUCAUGAAGUGGAGGUCACUACUGUUCCUCUUCUUUGGGACCAAAACUUGUUUAUCUUAAAAAAAAAAAAAAUAGAUGACUUAAUGAUAACAUUAUCUACCUUCAUUUUCAAGUUUCAACUCUUUGUCAAUGACUUUGAUGAGCUCUACUUAUUUCAUGAUCUUAAAUUUAUUUUAAUACUUGUUUGAUUCCCAUGAGUUAUACCAAUUAGCUCUGCUUAUUUUUUUUAGUAAUUAUUUUAAUAUAAUUAUUUUCUUAAUCAUUUUAAUAUCUUCCUCUUGACGGUUUUUUUUUUUUCAAUUUUAAAUUAUAUAAAUUUCUCUCCAUGAUUCCAACAACGACAACAUCAUUAAUGUUAUUAUUAUUAAUGUAAUUGUCAGGCUUAAUUACAUAUUUUUAAAAAUAAUUAAAAAAACACUAAUUAAAAGAAAAAUGACAAAAUAACCUUAACAAAAUAGUUAAGUCCUUUUUUGGAAUUUACACUCCAAACAGCCAUUUUUAAAACAGCUUAUCCAAAUGCUUAAUGUAGUUUUAAAAAUAAAAAAACGCAUAUUUUCACAUUUUUACCAAACACUUAUCUGUGGUUUUUAAAAUGAUGUUUUCAAAACGCAUGUUUUAAAAACGCUCGUUUUAAAAACGCACCUUUAUGAACAGCCUAUCCAAACAGGCCCUUAGUCUUGGUUCCAUGAGCAUUCAACAUUACAGGCAUUCUUUUUUUACUUAUACCCAAAAUUUUGUACAUGCAUGUGUUUGUUGCACCCAUACCUAGUUAGUGACAAAUAUAUUGAAUGAUUUAUGUUAAUAAUAAUCCUUUGAAGUUUAUAGAGUGCAUCAUAGUGCACCAUUCUCUAAUUUAUGUUGAUGUUACUUUGUUAGGUCUUAAUUGCUAUUAAGAGCCGGAGAGUAGGAGAGUAGUUGAGAAACUGCCAGAGACAAAUAAGGAAAUGGCUAUAAAUGAAGUUAAGAAGAGGGCAAAAAUUGUCAAUAUCCUUAUGCACCAAGAAAUUUAUGGAAAAGGAUUGCGCUAAAAAGCAUCAAGUAGAUGUACAUGGCUUAGGAAAGGGAUCAGGUAGCUGCAGAUUUCUCUAUGAGAUUUCAUAAAUGUAACUUUGAUUUAGUGCUACUAUCUUUUAUUUUUUUAUAGGGCGGUAUAGUGAUUGGUAUUGAUAAAACUCUAUAAUAUAAUUUUUACAAGAGUUUUAGUUUUUUAUUUUUUUUCCUACCCUAAGAUAUAUCUUUUGUCCAGUCUUUGUAUUCUUGAAAUUAAUUGUACUUUGUGUAGUUUAAAUUGGAUUCUUAUAGUAAGAAUCCUGUAAUCGUGACAAACAUAGUUUGUAUAAUUGAGGUUCUUUGUAUUUUCCUUA